rnacentral:misc_RNA from 1 species
UCACCUUUCUUCAUCUUUGAAAACCCUUUUAUACCACGAGCCUUUGCAAUUGCUCUCAACCCUGGCAGCUUCAAUGAACUCAAAUCCUCGUGUUCAAUCUCCUCUCUUUUAUCACUAUACGCAUCAAUAUUAUCAAUAUCUGAAGACUCCUCUCCUGUUAACUCGUUGAAAACAUCACCUUCAGAGAAAGAGGACUCUGGCUCCUGCUCUAAUUCCAACUCAGCCUCCUCUGGCUCCAAUUCUGUCUGCUGGGCAGUAUUAGGAAGCUCCUCAAAUUUCUUCUUUUUCUCACCAUAUAAAUUCAAAUAAGGUGUAGAAUUAACAGGAUCUUCAUUUGCAUUUAUGGGCUUGAAUUUCACUUGAGGAACUGGAGAUUUGCGUUGGAAAUUUGAUGGUGGUCUGGUAAAAGAAGAGGAAUUAGGUUCUGGGACUCUACUCCUUUCUUUGUCAUUUAGAUUUAGGAAACUUGUGCUUUUAUCCUUACUCUGUGAUCUGCUCUGUUCCUGAUGGUCCACAGCAAAGUCUUGACUGCUGACUUUUUUCUUACGUUGCUCAAUUGAGUGUUUCCUCAG